rnacentral:rRNA from 1 species
GCCUAUACUGCAAGUCGAGCGGACAGAUGGGAGCUUGCUCCCUGAUGUUAGCGGCGGACGGGUGAGUAACACGUGGGUAACCUGCCUGUAAGACUGGGAUAACUCCGGGAAACCGGGGCUAAUACCGGAUGGUUGUUUGAACCGCAUGGUUCAAACAUAAAAGGUGGCUUCGGCUACCACUUACAGAUGGACCCGCGGCGCAUUAGCUAGUUGGUGAGGUAACGGCUCACCAAGGCAACGAUGCGUAGCCGACCUGAGAGGGUGAUCGGCCACACUGGGACUGAGACACGGCCCAGACUCCUACGGGAGGCAGCAGUAGGGAAUCUUCCGCAAUGGACGAAAGUCUGACGGAGCAACGCCGCGUGAGUGAUGAAGGUUUUCGGAUCGUAAAGCUCUGUUGUUAGGGAAGAACAAGUACCGUUCGAAUAGGGCGGUACCUUGACGGUACCUAACCAGAAAGCCACGGCUAACUACGUGCCAGCAGCCGCGGUAAUACGUAGGUGGCAAGCGUUGUCCGGAAUUAUUGGGCGUAAAGGGCUCGCAGGCGGUUUCUUAAGUCUGAUGUGAAAGCCCCCGGCUCAACCGGGGAGGGUCAUUGGAAACUGGGGAACUUGAGUGCAGAAGAGGAGAGUGGAAUUCCACGUGUAGCGGUGAAAUGCGUAGAGAUGUGGAGGAACACCAGUGGCGAAGGCGACUCUCUGGUCUGUAACUGACGCUGAGGAGCGAAAGCGUGGGGAGCGAACAGGAUUAGAUAC